AGAGUUUGAUCCUGGCUCAGAUUGAACGCUGGCGGCAUGCCUUACACAUGCAAGUCGAACGGUAACGCGGGGCUUGCUCUGGCGACGAGUGGCGAACGGGUGAGUAAUGUAUCGGAACGUAUCCUGUCGUGGGGGAUAGCCUUGCGAAAGUAAGACUAAUACCGCAUACGACCUGAGGGUGAAAGCGGGGGACCGCAAGGCCUCGCGCGAUAGGAUCGGCCGAUAUCGGAUUAGCUAGUUGGUGGGGUAAAGGCCCACCAAGGCGACGAUCCGUAGCUGGUCUGAGAGGAUGAUCAGCCACACUGGAACUGAGACACGGUCCAGACUCCUACGGGAGGCAGCAGUGGGGAAUAUUGGACAAUGGGGGGAACCCUGAUCCAGCAAUGCCGCGUGAGUGAAGAAGGCCCUCGGGUUGUAAAGCUCUUUCGGUUCGGAAGAAAUCCGCCGGUUUAAUACACUGCCGGGAUGACGGUGCGAACAGAAUAAG
rnacentral:rRNA from 1 species